rnacentral:misc_RNA from 1 species
AAAAGACAUAAGCUCCUUUCUUCCCUGUGAGAGGCCCUUGAGAAUUGAUCCAAUAUUUGGAAUCGCAAACCAGUACAUGUUUGGAUCAAUAAGUUGUCGAGUCAGAAGUCCAGCAUUUAUUAAGAGGGAGAUGUGUUCCUCCUUCACCUUGCCUCCCAAAGACAGAAGUGAACGAAGUUCUUCAUGUCCAAUACUGGGAUCUAGCUUUAAAUGAAUUACAUGCUCCUUAAACCAUUCAAAAACAGAAAGGCCUUCUUGUUUCUGUGUUUCCAAUCUUUUGCUGACACGUUCAAUCUGACUAAGGUAGUCGUCCAAAAACAUUAUAGCAUGAUCAUCCUGUCCAGUACUCAAUUUGA